rnacentral:tRNA from 1 species
CGUAGCGUAGCAUAGUGGUUGCAGUGUGAACUGUUGAUCAGUGGUGCUGGGUUCGAGUCCCCGCGGUGCCA